rnacentral:rRNA from 1 species
AGAGUUUGAUCCUGGCUCAGGAUGAACGCUGGCGGCGUGCCUAACACAUGCAAGUCGAGCGAAGCACAUGAAUACGAUUCUUCGGAUGAGGAUUCUUGUGACUGAGCGGCGGACGGGUGAGUAACGCGUGGGUAACCUGCCUUACACAGGGGGAUAACAGUUAGAAAUGACUGCUAAUACCGCAUAAGACCACAAAACCGCAUGGUUUGGUGGUAAAAACUCCGGUGGUGUAAGAUGGGCCCGCGUCUGAUUAGGUAGUUGGUGGGGUAACGGCCUACCAAGCCGACGAUCAGUAGCCGACCUGAGAGGGUGACCGGCCACAUUGGGACUGAGACACGGCCCAGACUCCUACGGGAGGCAGCAGUGGGGAAUAUUGCACAAUGGGGGAAACCCUGAUGCAGCGACGCCGCGUGAGCGAUGAAGUAUUUCGGUAUGUAAAGCUCUAUCAGCAGGGAAGAAAAUGACGGUACCUGACUAAGAAGCCCCGGCUAACUACGUGCCAGCAGCCGCGGUAAUACGU